GUAGUUGACUCCGUGGCUACAGAACGACGCUGGCGGCAGGCCUCAAACAUGCAAGUCUAGGGGGUGUAGCAAUACAUCACCGGCGGACGGGUGCGUAACACGUGGGAAUAUACCUUUCGGUACGGAACAACUGCGGGAAACUGCAGCUAAUACCGUAUACGUCCUAGCGGAGAAAGAUUUAUCGCCGAAGGAUUAGCCCGCGUUCGAUUAGCUUGUUGGUGAGGUAACGGCUCACCAAGGCGACGAUCGAUAGCUGUUCUGAGAGGAAGAUCAGCCACACUGGGACUGAGACACGGCCCAGACUCCUACGGGAGGCAGCAGUUGGGAAUCUUGGACAAUGGGGGAAACCCUGAUCCAGCCAUGCCGCGUGAGUGAUGAAGGCCUUCGGGUUGUAAAACUCUUUCGACGGGGACGAUAAUGACGGUACCCGUAGAAGAAGCUCCGGCUAACUUCGUA
rnacentral:rRNA from 1 species